rnacentral:lncRNA from 1 species
UGCCCAUGUCCAAAUACGAAUGCAUCUAUUUCGGUGACAUUUAUUUGUCCAUAUAGAUUAUAAAUUGACAAGAAUCACAAGACCAAUGGGCAAUGGGCGUCAGUAGAUUUGGAUUAUGCGGACGUGGUCGGUCCAAUUGUCACAAAAUGCUAGGGUUUCUAAAAGGACAAAUCUCCAAAAUAGCACAUUUCUAAAUUUAUAUCACAAAAAUAGCACUCAAAAACUAAAAUGACCAAAAUAGCAUUUUAUCUUUUGAAAAUUUUAAUUUUUUUAUUUUUCAACUCUAAACCCUAAACCCUAAACCCUAAACUCUAAACCCUAAACCCUAAACUCUAAACCCUAAACCGUAAAUCCUAAACUCUAAACCCUAAACCCUAAAUCCUAAACCCCA